UACGGAGGGUGCAAACGUUGCUCGGAAUCAUUGGGCGUAAAGCGCGUGUAGGCGGCCCGGUAAGUCCGCUGUGAAAGUCCAGGGCUCAACCCUGGGAUGCCGGUGGAUACUGUCGGGCUCGAGUCCGGAAGAGGCGAGUGGAAUUCCUGGUGUAGCGGUGAAAUACGCAGAUAUCAGGAGGAACACCAAUGGCGAAGGCAGCUCGCUGGGACGUGACUGACGCUGAGACGCGAAAGCGUGGGGAGCAAACAGG
rnacentral:rRNA from 1 species